ensembl:snoRNA SNORA62 Small nucleolar RNA SNORA62/SNORA6 family
UAUGCACACCGUUAGAGCUCAGAGCUGAGGUCAGUUCCUGGCUGAUGAACUUCUGAGUGUAGGAAGUGUGCUACAUCAAUUUUGGCAGGUUUUUUCGCUAACGCCAUUAGGACUUUGCUGUCCAAUGAGUGGGGUUUGAUAGUGAUUCUUGCCACAUCU